AUUGAACGCUGGCGGCAUGCUUUACACAUGCAAGUCGAACGGUAACAGGCCGCAAGGUGCUGACGAGUGGCGAACGGGUGAGUAAUGCAUCGGAACGUGCCCAGUCGUGGGGGAUAACUACUCGAAAGAGUAGCUAAUACCGCAUACGACCUAUGGAUGAAAGCGGGGGACCGUAAGGCCUCGCGCGAUUGGAGCGGCCGAUGUCAGAUUAGGUAGUUGGUGGGGUAAAGGCUCACCAAGCCAACGAUCUGUAGCUGGUCUGAGAGGACAACCAGCCACACUGGGACUGAGACACGGCCCAGACUCCUACGGGAGGCAGCAGUGGGGAAUUUUGGACAAUGGGCGCAAGCCUGAUCCAGCAAUGCCGCGUGCAGGAAGAAGGCCUUCGGGUUGUAAACUGCUUUUGUACGGAACGAAACGGCUCUGGUUAAUACCCGGGGCUAAUGACGGUACCGGAAGAAUAAGCACCGGCUAACUACGUG
rnacentral:rRNA from 1 species